ensembl:misc_RNA Metazoa_SRP Metazoan signal recognition particle RNA
GCUGGGCGUGGUGGCGGGCGCCUGUAAUUCCAGCUACUCAGGAGGCUGAGGCAGGAGAAUUGCUUGAAUCCAGGAGAUCAAGGCUGCAGCGAGCCAUGAUCGCACCACUGCACUCCAGCCUGGGCGACAGAGCAAGACCCUGUCUCAA